ACGCAUGCAGCCGAACCGGCCACCGUCGGGUUCAGGGGGUCGCGGCAGUCCCGCUCGCGCCGAGCGUCACCUUUGCGGGGUCGUCGGUUCGAGAGCGGGUCUCCUUGCCCCUGCAGUCCCGGCGGUUGGGGCCGGCCAAGAACGGUGGUGUCCGCGGCGAGGAGGACGGUCGGGUAGGUGGUGCAGCCGGCCCUCGUGUCGGAGGCGAGCUUAUAGCCGACCGUUCGGAAGGUCGCGGGUCCACCGAGGAGAGUGGUGGCUCGUUUCACCCCGGCAGUGCAGGCCCCGGCUUCGGGCGGGGCCGGAGCGCUUCUGUCCGUUCAGCCUCCGCGCCGAGAGACUGCUCGCAGUGUCCGGUGUAGGUGCGCGGGUCCGGGCGGGAGACGGUCUCACGCCGUGCGCUGCGGUGUCUUGGCCAGCCGUCGGCUUCAUUCGA
rnacentral:rRNA from 1 species